rnacentral:rRNA from 1 species
GACGAACGCUGGCGGCGUGCUUAACACAUGCAAGUCGAACGGAAAGGCCCUGCUUUUGUGGGGUGCUCGAGUGGCGAACGGGUGAGUAACACGUGAGUAACCUGCCCUUGACUUUGGGAUAACUUCAGGAAACUGGGGCUAAUACCGGAUAGGAGCUCCUGCUGCAUGGUGGGGGUUGGAAAGUUUCGGCGGUUGGGGAUGGACUCGCGGCUUAUCAGCUUGUUGGUGGGGUAGUGGCUUACCAAGGCUUUGACGGGUCGCCGGCCGGAGAGGGGGACCGGCCACCUUGGGCCUGCGGUACGGCCCAGACUCCUACGGGAGGCAGCAGUGGGGAACCUUGCACAAUGGGCGGAAGCCUGAUGCAGCAACGCCGCGUGCGGGAUGCCGGCUUUCGGGUUGUAAACCGCUUUCGCCUGUGACGAAGCGUGAGUGACGGUAAUGAGUAAAGAAGCACCGGCUAACUACGUG